AAGUAGUGCCCGUACCGCAAACCGACACAGGUAGAUGAGGAGAGAAUCCUAAGGCCAUCGGAAGAAUUGCAGUUAAGGAACUAGGCAAAUUGACCCCGUAAGUUAGCGAGAAGGGGUGCCUGCGAGAGCAGGCCGCAGAGAAUAGGCCCAAGCAACUGUUUAGCAAAAACACAGGUCUCUGCUAAAGCGCAAGCUGAUGUAUAGGGGCUGACGCCUGCCCGGUGCUGGAAGGUUAAGGGGAACACUUAGCGCAAGCGAAGGUGUGAACUUAAGCCCCAGUAAACGGCGGCCGUAACUAUAACGGUCCUAAGGUAGCGAAAUUCCUUGUCAGGUAAGUUCUGACCCGCACGAAUGGCGUAAUGACUUGGGCACUGUCUCAACUGCAAAUCCGGCGAAGUUGUAGUGCGAGUGAAGAUGCUCGCUACCCGCGAUUGGACGGAAAGACCCCGUAGAGCUUUACUGUAGCUUAGCAUUGAGUUCCGAUAUUGUCUGUACAGGAUAGGUGGGAGACUGAGAAACUAGGGCGUCAGCCUUGGUGGAGUCAACCUUGGGAUACCACCCUGACAGUAUUGG
rnacentral:rRNA from 1 species